CGGGAGGGGCCGCCGAGCUGCCUCAGGGGGGUUCCCGGGGCAGGGCCGGGGGCCGUGACUCUCCCGGGACCCCACUUCCGGCCGGGCCUGCCCAGUGUCCCUCGUCCGGCCCGCCCCGGGGCCCGCCUGGCCAGGUGGGUCGUGGAGGGCGGCCGUCCAGGCCAAAGCCAGGCGGGGGUGACGCGCCUCGCGCCAAGCUGGGAUGUUCAGAGCGGCGUCGGUUUGCGGAGAAAUGCGUGGGAAGCACGGAGUGUCCCCGACAGCUGCCCCCGGAGCUCCUCCUGGAAGUACAACCGCACAGGUUUAUUAAAAUCCCAGCCGAAAGAAAGUGCAGCCUGCCCAGGAAUGGCGCCACACACACGGAGAGCUGACACAAGAUGAUGCAACAAAAAGAAACACAGAUUCCCGGGGCCGCUGAUAAGGAUAGAAGGGGUCACAGAAGAACACACAGCAAAUGGACACAGAGAGCAGACACCUGGGGAGGGGGAAGGGGAG
rnacentral:lncRNA from 1 species